GAUGAACGCUGGCGGCGUGCCUAAUACAUGCAAGUCGAGCGAACGGACGAGAAGCUUGCUUCUCUGAUGUUAGCGGCGGACGGGUGAGUAACACGUGGAUAACCUACCUAUAAGACUGGGAUAACUUCGGGAAACCGGAGCUAAUACCGGAUAAUAUUUUGAACGGCAUGGUUCAAAAGUGAAAGACGGUCUUGCUGUCACUUAUAGAUGGAUCCGCGCUGCAUUAGCUAGUUGGUAAGGUAACGGCUUACCAAGGCAACGAUGCAUAGCCGACCUGAGAGGGUGAUCGGCCACACUGGAACUGAGACACGGUCCAGGCUCCUACGGGAGGCAGCAGUAGGGAAUCUUCCGCAAUGGGCGAAAGCCUGACGGAGCAACGCCGCGUGAGUGAUGAAGGUCUUCGGAUCGUAAAACUCUGUUAUUAGGGAAGAACAUAUGUGUAAGUAACUGUGCACAUCUUGACGGUACCUAAUCAGAAAGCCACGGCUAACUACGUG
rnacentral:rRNA from 1 species